GCGAGAAUUCAAAUAGUGCGGUAGUGUAGUGAUAAGCGUCUUCUUCCAAUGGUAAAUGGUAACGGUUUUUCCCUUGGAGCGACUGAACUAAUCAAGCUAAAGGCCCCAGAAAUGGUUAUACUUCAAGACAUAGCGCGCGAUCUCCAUCUCUGGUGAGGGUCCAACUUCUGACAUGGAAUACAUUAGCCUGGGUCCUGCGAUAGGUGCCUCCAACUAGUCAUACCUGUUUGUCAGUAAUCUACGAACAAGUGCGGGGGGCAGCGUGUCGUCCCUCCUGUGUUCGUGUUCCUUCCUGGGCGAGACCGAAAAAAUAAGGCUAAGGAUUCUAGAUGGGCAGCCUUAUAAAGGUAGGAUUUUCUUUUCUAUGCAUGGGCUAUUUUUUAUUUUUUAUGUAUUUAGCAGUGGGUGAAUAGUGCAUACAGUGAUUAAAGUGAAAAUUGGCUAUUCUUUUAGCUAUCCUUCGUGUUGUCAGUCUAAAUCGGUUAUGAUUAUUUCCUCGGCCCAUCAUUUUGCUGACGUGGGAUUCACUGCAAUAAUUCUUUGAAUGGACGGCAAUCAGUUCACUUCAUGUAAAUCAGUAUGACUAUGAAUUCAUAGCCAUACCAGUUUCGUGAAGUAUAUUGAUCUUUUCUGCGAGUCAUACUAUGAGGAAGUAAUGCAGUUAAUUGUUACGUUCUCAAGAUGAAUGUUUUCGAGGAUAGUCAUAGCCCAUUUAUUACUACACGAAGGUCGAUUUAUUCGUUUUUAAAAGAAGGUGAGUAAUUAAAUCGUUAACUAAUUAGUCUUGUCCUAACUCUUCUUUCAUGCGAUGAGACUGAUUAUUAAACGAAUAUUAUUUACGAGUAUUUGGUGGUCGUACUAAUCUCAUCAAUUGUUCACAGGACCAUCUGCAUUUCCUGACCAGGAUUGAUCAUUCUCAAUCCUAUGCUGGACCUGAUCGGAUUCAAGUCUACUCUCGAUUCUGGUGAUGAAUCUCAAAGUUUAGUCGAACAAGGCGCAAAACAAUUCGGAUUGAUUUGGAUUUCAUACCUGGCAUAACGUAAAAAACAAGGAAAAGGAUUUUUCCU